rnacentral:rRNA from 1 species
AUACGGAGGGUGCAAGCGUUACUCGGAAUCACAGGGCGUAAAGCGCGCGCAGGCGGGCUGAUAAGUUGGAUGUGAAAGCCUACGGCUCAACCGUAGAACUGCAUCCAAAACUGUCAGUCUAGAGUGUGGGAGAGGAAGAUGGAAUUAGUUGUGUAGGGGUAAAAUCCGUAGAGAUAACUAGGAAUACCAAAAGCGAAGGCAAUCUUCUGGAACACUACUGACGCUGAGGUGCGAAGGCGUGGGGAGCAAACAGGAUUAGAAACCCUAGUAGUCC